GUUGCUUAAAGAAAUAAUUGAUCUUAACAACUGGAAGACAGAUCUUCAACUUCGAUUAGAAGAUAUGACUAGACAUAAUGAGGAUUUGAGAUUAAAAAACAAAGAUCUCAAAGAGAAGUUUAGUUUCUUAGAGAAGGAACUGGAAACGACCAAAUCAUUACUACAGAAUGUCCAAGAAGAGCGAGAUUACUGGCAAAAGCAGUUUGUGGAAGCAACUGUUUUAACCCAGUCAAAAGUAAUUCGCACUG